CCUCUGUCAUUUCAACUAUGUGUCCCAUGGGAGAGGGGACUUUGCUGUUUUAUAUCAACAGUACUGUUUUGUACAGUGAGGGAUGCUACUGAGAGCUCUGCAUCACUCACGUUUUUGAGGGAGAAUGUCACAGGUGACACAAAGAGCUGAUGGCGUUUGGAAAUUGUGCUGUAAACAAAUGGGCAGGACUUCCAAAAGAGGACAGAUGUUCUGUCAACCUUGGAAGAUAAUUCUGUUUCAUCUUCAGCUUACAUAGAUGUCUGGCAUUUUUGCAGAAUAUGCUGGAAAGUGAAAGUGUGAUAAGAUGUGUUUUCACUCCUAAUUCUCUGUAAACACAGGUGGUGCUUGGCAGCUCUCAUGAGAUGUUUUUUUUGUGGUGCCUGUACUUCAGUCUGAACAACUAAACUUGGAAUAUUUUUUUCAUAGUUCAUAUCUUAAUUCAUAAUAAAUCCUAUUUUCUACGGAAGACUUGAGCUGACAUGAUUCAGCAAUUGCAAAGACUGGAUUUGACAGAAUUUUGUUUGCCUAGCUCAGAGUCUGAAAACUUUCUCUGAAGAGUUCCAUCAUUCUGGUGGUCUGUGACAGCAGCCUGACUCUGGCUUACCAUGAAGGGGUGACCUGAAGCUGUGUUUUCUGUUGUGUCGUAAAGAAGGUUGUUCAUUUGAACUUGCAGGAAAUAGAUAGGAAAUUCUGUGCUAGACCCCUUUAAAAAUACUAAAUACUAUAAAAUGUGUAUAUUAUUUAUGGGGAAUGUGCAGUAGCACAAACCUGCACACUUCCUUACCUGUUGCAGCUUUGCACUGUCACACUCUUGGGCCCUCAGUGAAUCUGAUUGUUUAUUCCCAGUGUAUGGUCACUGCUUGCAAAGUGAAUAGAGUUAGGGAUGAGGGGGGUAUAAUUUCAACCUCCUUCACAAGAACCCAGCUGGAAGAGGAAGGAAAGCUGUAUGAUUAACUAGAAGGUGGAAGGUCUGAAGUGCAAAAGGAGAGGGAGGAUGAAAGUUGGUAGAUGCAGAUCUUGUGUGAAGAGAAGGAUUAGGAGAUGUUUAGGACAAAUGAGUAGUGUCUGAGAGAGACUGAGUCCAGCAAAAUUGGGUGGCUGCAAGGGGACUGACCAGUAUGAUGGCGGAAAAGACCUAGCAGGAGAAUUCAGCUAGAGCUUAGGGGUCAAGAGUCUAUUGUCGGGAAAAAAAAUUAGUAUUUGGGAUUGGAAUAUGGAGGCAGAGUUGGAGAGUUGGGAAAGAUUGUGCCGAUGACUUUGGGGCAGCCUCCAGACAAGGCAGUGGGCAACUUGCUCUGUCUGACCGUGCUUUGAGCAAGGCAUUUCAUGAGAGAGACCAAAAGUGUCUUCCAGCCUCAGCCCUUCUGUAGCAGGGCAGGCUAUGAAAAUGUCAUUGUUUCAGUACAUCGUUCCAUUAGCAGCAAAACUUCAUAACUUUAUUAUAGGUUUGAGUCUGAGAUGUAUUUCUUCAUUGCUGUACUGUUCUCAAGCAUGCAGAAAAUCUGCUUUGCUCCUUUAUGCCCUUUACUCCACCCAUGUGACAAGAAGUGAUGUCAUGUCCCAUCUGGUGGGGCAGCUGUCUGAUAUCCAGCAUGCUGGAUAAAAGCUUUUGUUGCAGUCCUUUCCUCUAUAAGACCAUAAUUCUCCUCUUGUUUUAUGAAAACUGGCAUUUUCUUUUAGGAAGAACAUCAUCUUCGAGACUUCUCAAACUCAGUUGACAUUGACCAGUUGGCUUUAGAGCAAAGUUUUAGAAGUCUAGCAGAAAGCCAGGAUGAUGGUAGAUCAUGUGACAAGCACUGUUCUUAAUAAAUAAGGAAAAAGUAGUAGAAGAGCAUCUUGAGACAGGAGGAAAUUACAGGCACAUUCUAUGAUGACAAAGUCCCAUUAAGUCUUAUCCCUGACCUGUGUGUGCUUCUUUGGUUUGUCUUUGGAGACUAAACCAGUAACUUACUACUUUGUUGCAAUAGAGCUAUUGCACCUCAGGUGCAGAGUGUAAAAAUGAGAACAAUCAAGAUACACUUUUAUUUUUUGAUUAUUAUUGUUUGAAUGAAAAUUGUCUUCUAUGCAGCUUAUAUUUUAAGGAACCAAGCCACUACUAGUAAGCAAAGGGAUUUCACUUUUCUUUCACUUUUAACACUUAAUUUCACAUUUUGGUCCUCCUUUACUGCACCUGCUAAAGCCAAUAAAAAUGAUGAAACUUAAAACAAUCUGCCAAUUUCCUUGAGAAGCAAGUCCUAUUUUUCUUUUCCUGAUGCAGAAGAUGACUCCGAAUUAGGUUUUAUGCAGUGGGUGGGUAGCUGAGAAGGAAAGUGGAGAACAGGCAGAAGAGGAUGUGUAUCUACUGGCAGAAAUGAUCACACUCUGGAUUUAGACAAUUUCUGUUGUUCCUUUUUCCUCACAGAUUAACAAAAAUAUGUGUCAGCAAACACAUAUCCUUAUCAUAUCUUACUGUUUCAUGCAAUGAUCUAUGUAUUUUAAAAAUAAAAAUCUCAACUUGUUUUAUGGUCCAAUAUUCCAUUCAAGAGUAGUAAUUCCAA